rnacentral:lncRNA from 1 species
UCUUACUGUGACAUGCAGGCAGGACUUGCUGAAAUGGAAUGGCUGGGGAUACAAGGACUCCAAGUUUGUGGUCGAUGGCACCACUCAUCAUAUUUCGUUUACAGGCGACAGAUACAAGAUUGGAAACAAGGUGCUGCCUCACUUCAAGGCCUGGGUCGAGUCAGCGCUGGGUGUCGACCUCAAUGUCCUCAUUCCAUCGCAGGAGCCCAUAAAAAGCACCAAGUCCUCUCUGCAAGGCUCCUCCACCGUGGCCAUUAACCCUGUCCACAAGUGU